rnacentral:rRNA from 1 species
AGAGUUUGAUCAUGGCUCAGGAUGAACGCUAGCUACAGGCUUAACACAUGCAAGUCGAGGGGCAGCAUUGGGAUAGCUUGCUAUUCCAGAUGGCGACCGGCGCACGGGUGAGUAACGCGUAUCCAACCUUCCCUAUAGUAGAGAAUAGC